UUUAAGCGCAAUCAAGAGUUUCCAGUGUUCAAUUUUGAUCGUCUGUCUUAUUUGACUUUUUUAUGAUUAAUAUUUUUACUAUUAUUAGAUGACAAAACAUAAAUAGUAAUCUAUGCGUGACUUAUGUUUUUUAAUUUUUUUAAAAAAACAUAUAAGACAGACGAUUAAAGUUGGACACGGAAAGUCAUGGCUGCAACUAAA
rfam:Oryza rufipogon genomic scaffold, chr02